AUGUUAUUAGAUUGUUUGCUGGCCCCUCUAAAGCUCUUAAUUUUCUUCCACAGUUGUUGUGUUUUCAUGUCACCCUGCAACAUAUUACCUAAGGCCGAAUGGCAGGAGUGUGAGCAGAACACACUGAAUGUGAGUUUCUCCACGUGGGUUACGUGUGUACGCCACCAGCAGACCACCAGCGCCUUUUAUAAUCGCACUCUACAGAAGAGUAUGAGCCUGGCUCACCUGGAGGAAGAGACACAUCAGGACACUGAUUACUCAGCCACCUUUAACUGCACACUAUUGGCUCGGAUAAAUCAGAGGCAGUCCGGCACUCUUUGAAAUCUCAUGCCAUGUUAACAAAAGAUAAACAGGGUCAUCGUGCACUUACUAUCUCUAAUAACUGUAGGUCACGGCAGUCUGGUCUGUGCUCAAUCAAACCAGUGUGCCUGUGAAUAAACGCAUAAACAUUGACUUUCA
ensembl:lncRNA